rnacentral:rRNA from 1 species
CCUACGGGAGGCAGCAGUGGGGAAUUUUGGACAAUGGGCGAAAGCCUGAUCCAGCAAUGCCGCGUGUGUGAAGAAGGCCUUCGGGUUGUAAAGCACUUUUGUCCGGAAAGAAAUCCUUGGCUCUAAUACAGUCGGGGGAUGACGGUACCGGAAGAAUAAGCACCGGCUAACUACGUGCCAGCAGCCGCGGUAAUACGUAGGGUGCGAGCGUUAAUCGGAAUUACUGGGCGUAAAGCGUGCGCAGGCGGUUUGCUAAGACCGAUGUGUAAUCCCCAGGCUCAACCUGGGAACUGCAUUGGUGACUGGCAGGCUAGAGUAUGGCAGAGGGGAGGAGAAUUCCACGUGUAGCAAUGAAAGACGUAGAGAUGUGGAUUAAUACCGAUGUCGAAGGCGGCCCCCUGGGCCAAUACUGACACUCAUGCACGAAAGCGUGGGGAGCAAACAGGAUUAGAUACCCUAGUAGUC